UAGGGAAUCUUCCGCAAUGGGCGAAAGCCUGACGGAGCAACGCCGCGUGAGUGAUGAAGGUCUUCGGAUCGUAAAACUCUGUUAUUAGGGAAGAACAAAUGUGUAAGUAACUAUGCACGUCUUGAUGGUACCUAAUCAGAAAGCCACGGCUAACUACGUGCCAGCAGCCGCGGUAAUACGUAGGUGGCAAGCGUUAUCCGGAAUUAUUGGGCGUAAAGCGCGCGUAGGCGGUUUUUUAAGUCUGAUGUGAAAGCCCACGGCUCAACCGUGGAGGGUCAUUUGAAACUGGAAAACUUGAGUGCAGAAGAGGAAAGUGGAAUUCCAUGUGUAGCGGUGAAAUGCGCAGAGAUAUGGAGGAACACCAGUGGCGAAGGCGACUUUCUGGUCUGUAACUGACGCUGAUGUGCGAAAGCGUGGGGAUCAAACAGG
rnacentral:rRNA from 1 species